rnacentral:lncRNA from 1 species
UCGUCUGAAAUUUUAUUAAUUAUUGUUGUGAAACCAAAGAUGAAAUACAAAGCCCAAAAGAGGGAAACAUAAGCCGGCAGACGAUGAAGAUGUCCCCAUAGUCAUUAAGCCCUAUGGAAGGGAGUAUAAAAGAGAUACAAAACAGAAAAUUUGGAACCUAAAUCGAAAGAAUACUAAUCCAUAAACUUAGAACAGAAGAAACCGGCCAUAAAGCCUUAAGCUAAACAAUAGAAUCAAGAACACAAAGCACUUCUUCUUGUUAGACACAAGUGAGAGAGAUUUACCGAGGAUGCCCAUGGCCAAACCGAAGAUAACAUCUACCACCUCCUAUCACGAUGAGAGCCAAUCUCUCGAAACAAAGGACUUCAAAACCCGAUAAGCACCUAGCUUUCGGAAGCGACGAACACAUUGAUACGCAAAGAACGUCAUACUAGAAGCCUUCCAAACGCGAUCAGACCUCAAUAGAUCUCGAACGCAGGGACAAGGAGCGAGGCCUGUAACUCAAGAAUCACCAAUCUCAAAGCGAACGAUGAAAAAACAUGAGAGCUAUCACCCACAACGAACAACAGCAAGAAGAAGAUAACUCACACAGACUUGGAAGCCUACCAUCACAUUCAAACAAAACGAAUCUUCUGCUUAGAAAAGGAUCGAACUCAUUGGAAUCCAAAGGCCGAGACGAGGAGAUCAGGCGAAAGGAAAGGCAUAGGCUGGAAGAAACUAACUAAUCCCACACCCACACUACCCUAACGGCAUAGAAACNN